rnacentral:tRNA from 1 species
UUUUUUAUUAGUAUACUUAUUACAAUUACCUUCCAAGUAAGAAAUUUCUUAUUGAAAUGCUUAAAUAGGUUAAGUUAA